UGCAAAUCAUUUUUCUGAUGUAGGUAAAGGUGCGAAAGACUCAUCGAACCACUAAUAGCUGGUUUCCUCCGAAGUUUCCCUCAGGAUAGCUGUAAUGCAUUUAGUUAAGGGGAGUAGAGAUAUGGGUAGAGGUGCAGGGAGCCUUCGGGUUCUCAACUUAUUUCCAAACUUCGAACCUCCUUGUUAGGCAUUUACCUAACUGGAAAUGCUUAAAUGAAUUAGCGUUACAAGUGGGCUCUGACCGGUAAGCGGUCAUGGCGAAAUGGGAUGAACCAUACGUCUGAAUAAGGUGCCGAAAUGUACUAUCACUGAUACCAUAAAGGGAGUCCAUGUAUUUAGACAGCAGGUCGGUGCCCCUAAAAGCAGGUAUCCGCUAAAGAGUGUGUUAAAACUCACCUGCCGAAUACUAGGGCCCCGAAAAUGAAUGGCGCAUAUAGUACUACCGAUCUCAGACAUCAGUUCUAUUGAACUGAGAGUAGGGGGAUGUGGACAUUUUUGUGAAGGUGCAAUGUGAGUUGGACUGGAAGAAUGUCUAUUACAGAUCCUAAUUGAAGUAGCGAUUAUCCAGGCUUGUAUCCUGGGGGCUGAUGAGGAGUAGGGUUUCUGGACAACUUAAACAGAUCCAGAGUUAGUCGAUCCUAAUCUCAAUAAUGGGAGAAAGGGAGUACAGUUGAUAUUCUGUAACUGACAACAGUUCGCGGCAACGCAUACUAUUUUUCUCCGCCAAUCUUAUACCGUUGGUAGGGAUCUCUUUCCUACAUGACAGUACUAAUACCCAGGGAAACUGGUCAUCAGGCGAACUGCGGCGUUCUGCUGGCAAAACAUAGCUUCGGUUAUGUCAAUGGCUAUUGGAUUGGUCCAUGAAGCGAAAAAUAGUUUACUGUGUCACUCGUACCGAUAACCGCAUCAGGUCUUCUAGGUAAGUAGCCUAUGGCCAUUGAGGCAUGAUAGUUCAGGGAAUUCGGCCAAUUAGAGCUGUAACUUCGGGAUAAAGCUUGGCUCUGAUGAAAAUCAGAACCGAUUGUUACGCGGAGAGCCCAACUGUUUAAUAAAAACGUAGUGUCGCGCUGUGGUAGUAUAGCCAGUGAACGCGA
rnacentral:ncRNA from 2 species